rnacentral:rRNA from 1 species
AAACUUAAAGGAAUUGACGGGGGCCCGCACAAGCAGCGGAGCGUGUGGUUUAAUUCGAGGCUACACGAAGAACCUUACCUGGGUUUGACAUAGCGGUGGUAGGGAACCGAAAGGGGACCGACCUUCGGGAGUCGUUACAGGUGCUGCAUGGCUGUCGUCAGCUCGUGCCGUGAGGUGUUCGGUUAAGUCCGGUAACGAGCGCAACCCUCGUCGCUAGUUACACGUUGUCUAGCGAGACUGCCCGUGAUAAGCGGGAGGAAGGUGGGGAUGACGUCAAGUCAGCAUGGCCUUGAUGCCCAGGGCUACACACACGCUACAAUGGCCGGUACAAUGGGUCGCCAACCCGCAAGGGGGAGCCAAUCCAGCAAAGCCGGUCUCAGUUCGGAUUGCAGGCUGCAACCCGCCUGCAUGAAGUCGGAGUUGCUAGUAACCGCGCGUCAGCCAUAGUGCGGUGAAUACGUUCCCGGGCCUU